rnacentral:rRNA from 1 species
AACGUAGGAGACAAACGUUAUCCGGAGUUACUGGGCGUAAAGGGCGUGUAGGAUGGUUUCGUAAGUCUGGCGUGAAAUAUCUCGGCUUAACCGACGGCAGGUCUCGGAUACUGCGAGACUCGAGGACGGUAGAGGCGUGUGGAAUUCCGGGUGUAGUGGUGAAAUGCGUAGAGAUCCGGAGGAACACCAGUGGCGAAGGCGAACACGCUGGGCCGUACCUGACACUGAU